rnacentral:rRNA from 1 species
AACGGACGCUGGCGGCAUGCCUAACACAUGCAAGUCGAACGAGACCUUCGGGUCUAGUGGCGCACGGGUGCGUAACGCGUGGGAACCUGCCCUUAGGUUCGGAAUAACUCCCCGAAAGGGGUGCUAAUACCGGAUAAUGUCUUCGGACCAAAGAUUUAUCGCCUUUGGAUGGGCCCGCGUUGGAUUAGCUAGUUGGUAGGGUAAAAGCCUACCAAGGCGACGAUCCAUAGCUGGUCUGAGAGGAUGAUCAGCCACACUGAGACUGAGACACGGCCCAGACUCCUACGGGAGGCAGCAGUGGGGAAUAUUGGACAAUGGGCGAAAGCCUGAUCCAGCAAUGCCGCGUGAGUGAUGAAGGCCUUAGGGUUGUAAAGCUCUUUUACCCGGGAUGAUAAUGACAGUACCGGGAGAAUAAGCUCCGGCUAACUCCGUG